rnacentral:rRNA from 1 species
GACGAACGCUGGCGGCGUGCCUAAUACAUGCAAGUAGAACGCUGAAGCUUGGUGCUUUCACCGAGCGGAUGAGUUGCGAACGGGUGAGUAACGCGUAGGUAACCUGCCUGGUAGCGGGGGAUAACUAUUGGAAACGAUAGCUAAUACCGCAUAAUAGUAGAUGUUGCAUGACAUUUGCUUCAAAGGUGCAAUUGCAUCACUACCAGCUGGACCUGCGUUGUAUUAGCUAGUUGGUUAGGUAACGGAUCACCAAGGCAACGAUACAUAGCCGACCUGAGAAGGUGAUCGGCCAAACUGGGACUGGGACACGGCCCAGGAUCCUACGGGAGGCAGCAGUAGGGAAACUUCGGCAAUGGACGGAAGGCGGACCGCGCAACGCCGCGUGAGGGAAGGAGGUUUUCGGGUCGUAAAACUCUGUUGUGAGGGAAGAACGAGUGUGAGAGUGGAAAGUUCACACUGUGACGGUAUCUUAAGAGAAAGCGACGGCUAACUACGUG